AACAACGGAGAUGACAUUCCUCCAUAACCGCCCUCACAGGCUGAUGAUGUCUACGUAA
rnacentral:ncRNA from 1 species